UACGUAGGCAGCAAGCGUUGUUCGGAGUUACUGGGCGUAAAGGGUGCGUAGGCGGCUUUUUAAGUUUGGUGUGAAAUCUCCCGGCUCAACUGGGAGGGUGCGGUGGCGACUGCCGGACUGGAGGCACUCAGAGGCCGGUGGAAUUCCUGGUGUAGCGGUGAAAUGCGCAGAUAUCAGGAAGAACACCCGUGGCUAAGGCGGCUCUCUAGUAUGGUACUGACGCUGAGACGCGAAAGCGUGGGGAGCGAACAGG
rnacentral:rRNA from 1 species